AACGAACGCUGGCGGCAUGCCUAACACAUGCAAGUCGAACGAAGCCUUCGGGCUUAGUGGCGCAUGGGUGCGUAACGCGUGGGAAUCUGCCCUUGGGUUCGGAAUAACAGUUAGAAAUGACUGCUAAUACCGAAUGAUGUCUUCGGACCAAAGAUUUAUCGCCCAAGGAUGAGCCCGCGUCGGAUUAGCUAGUUGGUGAGGUAAAGGCUCACCAAGGCGACGAUCCGUAGCUGGUCUGAGAGGAUGAUCAGCCACACUGGGACUGAGAUACGGCCCAGACUCCUACGGGAGGCAGCAGUGGGGAAUAUUGGACAAUGGGGGCGAACCCGUCGAUCCACGCAAUGCCGCGUGAGUGAUGAA
rnacentral:rRNA from 1 species